UUUUUUCUAAAGCAAGUCUCACUGUCUUCCUGUGCUUGUCUGCAAUUACCUAGGAGGUUCAGAAAAACAUCCAUAUUACCAGAAGUUGAUUCCCCUUUGUGGAAUUCUUUCUUUCUUGAUGUUACUCUGUGUGGAACCUCAGACAGCCCUAAAAAUCUGUAUCCUCAGUUCUUGUGGCUGAGUUUGCAAGCACAGAUCCCUGGACUCCAGAACCGACAAAAGUCACUAGAUUGAAUAAUCACAGAAACACGGGGGGAUAAGGUUGGAAUUUCUUGAUGAGGCUGGGACCUCCCAAACGUAACUGUUGAAUAUAUUGAGCACUCAGGAGUCUCCAAGGACUGUGUACAACAUAAGGACAGAAACUUUGAAUGUUGCUCUUGAUCCUGUACCUCCAUGGCUUCACUGUGAUGUAGUUUAGCCAAGAAGAGACAAUCUGCUAAUUAUUCAUUGAGUAAAUGAAAUGGAUGGAUGUCAAAAAUGUACAAAGUCAGUUCUUGUUAUGGGAACAAACUUUUCAAUUUCUUCCCCUAAAACUGUUCUGCCUCAAGAUGCCAUAAAAUAUGUUUUUGUGGAUCUUCAAAAAUCUUGAUGUGCCUCAGAAACCAGGCAAAAUAUAAGGACAGACCAGCAAUGAAAGGUCCAGGUUUGUUCACCAACACCAAGAAAGUUUUAACACACACUAGAAAGUUUUAUCAUCAUUUUUUAAAUUCAAUUAACAGCUUAUAGACAGACAUUAGCUCUCUACUGUCCGAAGAUGGAAUUUUAUAAUUGGAAAAUGAUACAUCAUUUAUGAAAUUUUGUUUAACAGAUUUUCAUGCAGUAUCUGGAAAUAUUUAUUCUAGAACUGGUGACUAGUGUUCAUGAAAAAUAAGAUCCCAAGAACAGUAACAUGCACACUUGAUUUGGAUUCAAAUGACAUAUACGAAUUUUAGAAGUAGAAAUACAGAUUGCACAAGUGGGGACAGAGGACUUCACAAUUAACACUGUAGUACAAAUGAGUGGGUUUGGCAUAGAUUUCCACCAAUGGGUUUUCUGUGUUAAUUUUGAGCAUUACAGUUGAGAAUAAUGCUUAUAAACAUGUAUAUGCUCAGCCAUGUGCCGUAUAAUGACAUUUCAACCAACAAUUGACCACAUAUAUGUAGGUAGCGUCACAAGAUUAUAAUUGUGCUGAAAAAUUUAUACCUUCUAUUAUUGUUACUGUACCUUUUCUUUGUUAAUAUAGACGGUUAAAUACUAUUGUCUUUCAAUUGCCUACUGUAGUGUUCAGAACAGUAGCAUAUUAUAUAGAUUUGUAUUCUAGGAGCAAUUGGAUAUACAUAUAACUUAGAAGUGCAGUAGGCUGUACUAUCUAGGUUUCUGUUAAGAACCCUCUAUUAUAUUCUCACAACAAGUAAAUUGCCUAAUUAUAAACUUCUCAGGGUGGAUUAAAGGAGGCAUGAGGGUUUCUAUAUCUAUUCCCAGAGAUCUGCAUUAAAUAUGAGUAUGAUGUAGAUGUACUAUACCUAUAUCCAUGGAUAUCAUGUAUGUAUGUGUGUAUAGAUAUGUAUCUUCACAAGCAUGACAAGUUAUACAUAUGUGAACAUGUGAAUUGUAUAGUUGAGCAUGGCUAUUAUUUUGAUUUUUCACCCAAAUUUUCAUUCAAAAGGACAAAAUUAAAGGCACUCAGAUAAAGAGAAUACACUUCUAUUUCCCAUUACUAUCAAGAGUGUUUUUUAAUGUUUUAAGUGUGUUAGAUUUUUUAAAAGAUUUUAUUUAUUUGACGGAUUAUAGACAGUGAGAGGGUGAGAGAGAGAGAAAGGUCUUCCAUCCACUGGUUCACUCCUCAAAUGACUGCAACAGCCAGAGCUGGCCUGAUCCGAAGCCGGGAGCCAGGAACUUCUUCCAGGUCUCCCAUGAAGGUGCAGGGACCCAAGCACUUGGCCCAUCCUCCACUGCUUUCUCAGGCUAUAGCAGAGAGCUGGAUUGGAAGAGGAGCAGCUGGAAAUAGAACCAAUGCCCAUAUGGGAUGCCAGUGCUGCAGGCAGAGGAUUAACCUACUGAGCCACAGUGCCGGCCCCUGUUAGAUCAUUUUUAAUAGCAACCAAAAAAUAAAAGAAUGAUUUUAAAGUCAAUACUUUGUCCCCUCUAUUUGUGGAUCUUCAAGAAAAUAAAAUAAGUUUUAAAGAAAUGUGCUGCUGCUUGAAUAUUCUCAAAAGUGUUUUCCAACCCAAGCAUGCAUUUGCAGAAUAGAAAAAGCUCAUGAGAUUUAUUUUUUAUUUUAUUGAUUAGAAUAUAUUUUUUAAUUAAUGGCAAAUAAACAUGCUUCUAUUGUGUCUCUGUUCAAUAAAAUGCAACAACAUAGUCACUGAGACACAUAAUAUUAAAUACCAAUAAAUUAGGGACUCUGACCACUCCUUGCCCAUUGGUCCUGCUCAGCAGAAUGCAAAUCAUGCAGCCUCCUAAUCUAUGGAAUUGCUCUUAGUUUUACAUCUAGAUGUGUAUGCCUUUGCAGUUCAGAUGCAUUUGCAAAAUUAAAAGCAUAAUUUAUCUCCAAAAUGCAAUAGUCCAUCAGCUCAGUGACUUAGUCUUGAUGAAAAUUGGAUCUAAAAAAUGUUUGUUCACAAUGAGGUCUGGUUUUGAGAACAGUAGUGGGACAAUGAUCUCCAGUAUCCAGGUUAUGUAGAUGUA